GACGAACGCUGGCGGCGUGCCUAACACAUGCAAGUCGAGCGGGGAUUUAAGUGGAAGUUCUUCGGAAUGGAGAUUUAAAUUCUAGCGGCGGACGGGUGAGUAACGCGUUAACAAUCUGUCCCGGACAGGGGGAUAACACUUUGAAACAGGUGCUAAUACCGCAUAAGACCACGGCCUCGCAUGGGGCUGAGGUAAAAGGAGCAAUCCGGUUCGGGGUGAGUUCGCGUCCGAUUAGCUAGUUGGUGAGGUAACGGCCCACCAAGGCGACGAUCGGUAGCCGGCCUGAGAGGGUGAACGGCCACAUUGGAACUGAGAGACGGUCCAAACUCCUACGGGAGGAAGCAGUGGGGAAUAUUGGGCAAUGGGCGAAAGCCUGACCCAGCAACGCCGCGUGAGGGAAGAAGGUUUUCGGAUUGUAAACCUCUGUCCUAUGGGACGAAGGAAGUGACGGUACCAUAGGAGGAAGCCCCGGCUAACUACGUG
rnacentral:rRNA from 1 species